GAAUGUGCAAUGUCUUUCCUGCUCGGGAGUGCCUCGUCCUUCACAGUGGAUUGGUUCCUCUUUCGGAGCAGAGUUCAGCUUUCUGUUGGGUAGAAACAGAAAUAUCUGAGCAAGAUGGCAGCUCUGCAGAGCUCAAAGAAAGAAGUUAAUAUAUUAAAAUUCAAGUGCUGUGAUGGACAACUGAAUUCUAUGCAAAUUAAGCCUCUUCUGUACAGAAAUAUGCCAGUAUGUACAAGUCUUUUUAGAGCACGUAGGCAGCUCAACCAGUGUAACAGAGAGAAAAGUCUGGAUGUAUACUUUUCUUUCUUCCUGUUGAUAAUUGAAGACUGUGAAGAAGGUGAAUCCAUAGUCUUAUGAAUACUCCUUGCUUCUAAUUUUGGUUGUGGUUACACAGGCAACAAAUGUAGGUAACAUGAGUGCUGAACAGCCUCAUAACCCCUUGUGUGGACACAAAGCCAGGAUCACAGUCUGCCUCUUCAAGAUCUGACAAUUUCAUGAAAUACUGUAAUCUGAUUUAUAUCUUUUAUUUUAUUCCUUUUUAUAAUGCAGAGAAAAUAUGCAUCCCUGAAUCAAGGUACGACACAGCAUGUGGGGUGGAAAACAAGGAGUGUAAUAAAAGGUGCUAUAAUAAAAAUGUGUUCAUAUUUCAGUGUGAAACUGGUUCUUGGGAAUUCAAAGAAAUUUCCCAUAUGUAGAAGAAAUUUGCUUGGAACAACUCUUCUGAUACUUAGCUGAUACUUAGAAUCCUGGAACACAGUGAACCCCAAGUUCUGUGGUGACUAGAAUAUGAUGUCCUAGUGCUGCAGAACUUUAAAAGCCAUAUUUGAAUAUUUGAUUUUAAAAUAAUGGUUAAAUAUUCAUUUGCAAAAUAGCAUGACUUAACAGGUUUUUUUUGUUUUUCAUGGAUCAUAGAGAAGUUGUGUAUACUGUACCUAUGCAUGUCACCAAAAACCAAAUAAAUUUC
rnacentral:lncRNA from 7 species